rnacentral:tRNA from 1 species
GGGGGUGUAGCUCAGCUGGUAAGAGCGCUGGCCUGUCAAGCCAGAGGUCGCGGGUUCGAGCCCCGUCACUCCCGCCA